AGACAGGAAAUCUGUGCUAGAAAUCUCUAACAAAACGUGGUGUGAAGGAAAUAAUAAGAAUAUUCCUGUCUCUUUUGCCUGUUAUCUGAUUAAUCCCCAGUAAAAAAUCGAUGCGAUAUCUGUGGUGACCAGUGUCUCCACUGUAGCCCCAGCACCUACGCCUCGGUCCUACGCUUCGAUCGAUCACAGCAUCGGGAAAAAGGGAUUCAAUUUUCUUUCGACAUUCACGUCUCUCAAGCAUCCGCGAAAACAUGUCAACAGAGGAGCAAAAGGAGGGCCCCGAGGCUGCUGCCCCGGCGCCUAGGGAGGUCAAGUGCGUGGUGCUGACGGGAUUUGGGGGGCCCAAAAUGGUCCGGUGUCAGAAGAAGCCCGAGCCCUCGGCAAAGGAGGGGGAGGUUUUGAUCCGAGUUAAAGCCUGCGGCAUGAGUUUCCAGGAUUUGAUGGUUAGACAGGGAGUGCUGGAACAUGGACCCAAGACCCCUAUAGUAAUGGGAUUUGAGUGCGCAGGCGAAGUGGAAGCGCUGGGAGAAAACACUUCCGGUUUCAAUAUCGGUGACCGGGUGAUCGGUUUUUGCGACUACAAAGCCUGGUCGGAAGUGGUCGCCAUCCCGUCUCAGUUUGUGUACAAAAUGCCGGAGAACAUGAGCUUCCAGGACGGAGCCGCCCUCCCGAUGAGCUAUCUGACCGCCUACAUAUUGCUGUUUGACAUUGCCAAUCUGCGCCAGGGACAAUCUGUAUUCACUCAUUCCGUGGGAGGAGGCGUGGGCAUUGCAGUGACGCAGCUCUGUCACAUGAUGGAGGAUGUCAAACUGUUUGGGACCGCCUCCUACCAAAAACACGAGGCCGUCAAAGCCAAUGUGGAUCAUUUAUUUGAUCACGUGGUGGACUACCCACAGGAAGUCAGAAAACUUUCGCCAGAGGGAGUUGACAUAUUUCUAGACUGCUUGUGUGGUGAAGAUGCUAAUAAAGGAAUCUCUCUGCUGAAACCCAUGGGGAAAUAUAUUUUGUAUGGUAUGGUCUCUCUGUCUCUGUCUCUCUCUCUCUCUCUCUCUCUCUCUCUCUCUCUGUCUGUCUCUCUCUUUAACCGAAGCAUAAAUUAAGUUUUUUUCAUACAGAAAAUGAUAUCAAUAAUAUUUGUCAUCAUCUAUAUUUGUCUUCUUAGUUGUCGCGCUUUCUUUACUCGAAGAUGGAUUCGUCCUAAUCCUUAAAAAAAUCAUAUGAAAUAAUAAUGUUGGGAUAAAACGUCUGUGUUAAAGUACACACCUAUAUGUAGUAUUUUUUCACAAUUCCUUCCACACUUUUUAUAAUUUCAGGUUCAUCAAGCAUUGUUACGGGAGAAACCAAAAGCUUUUUCAGCUUUGCUAAAUCGUGGUGGCAGGUGGACAAGAUUAGCCCCAUCAAGCUGUACGACGAGAACAAGACCAUCGCUGGGUUCCAGCUGCGCCAUCUUCUCCACAAGCAGGGCCAGCACCAGUACGUGAAGGAGAUCAUGAACAAGCUGAUCAAGCUAUACUCUGACGGCAAGAUCCGCCCCUGCAUCGACUCGGCCUGGGCUUUUGAGGACGUACGUAACGCUGCCUGCUGUACUGUAUGGACGUACCUUUGUAUUUUGGAACAUAUUUUUAGGGGUUUUAUUGUGUAUACCGGGUAUUGUGAAAGAAAUCUAAAAUAAAUUGAUAUCUAUUAUGCAAGUUCUUUCUUGCAAAAAUGAACAACGGGAAUGCUGUUCACUUGAGCUCAUUUUAGCGUAAAUCUCUCUUUCAUUUUACACAUUAUUCUGUGGUUUAGGUGGGAGAGGCAAUGCAAAAAAUGCAGGACAGGAAAAACAUAGGAAAAAUCAUUCUGGAUCCUACUUUGGAACCAAAGCCCAAACCUGUGUCCCCUGCCAGGAUUCACACUACAAGCCAGUGUAGUGAGGACAAGGAGAACACUGAGGACCAGCAAUGAGUUCCAAGUACAUGUACAAUAGGUACGUGGACAGAGGGUACGUAUAUAUAGGGUACGUGGACGUUGCUGUUGUAAACAUGCCCUUUGUCCAAGUACUCAGUACAAAUCAACGAUCUUUAAAAAUAAUAACCAUAUUUAACACCUGUGAUUUCUUAAUCUUUAGUAUAGUUGUUCAAAUGUGCCAAGUCUUUGGGGGGAGAGGGAGUUCCUCUGCGAUUUUUUUUUACCUUUGGUUGAUUUCAAGUUUACGACCAUUAAUGUCUGAUGGAUUUGCUUAAAACUUUCUUGUUUAUUUUUCUUUUCAUAACUCAUCUUUACUUUUUUUUCAGAUAUCUUAAAGGUAGAUGGUGCAUAUUAGUGUGUUAUGAUGUAACAACUAAAUACCCAGUUUAUUGUGUGCUUAUGGACAACAUAAAUGGCUUACAAUUGUACCUCCUGUUGUUAUAUUAUGAUUUUAACAAAUGUUACUAUUAUGUAGAUGUUAAAGAGUCUUUAUUUUAUUGCCAAAUAAAAAUAUUUUCCCGCCAAAUGUU
rnacentral:misc_RNA from 1 species